rnacentral:tRNA from 1 species
GCCCCCUUAGUAUAAUGGAUAAUGCAAGGGUCUUCUAAGCCUUUAAUGGGGGUUCAAUUCCCUCAGGGGGUA